UGAGGGCACAGCUCAAUGGUAAAGUCCCUGCUUCGCAUACAGAAGGUCCCAGGUUCAAUCCCUGGCAUCUCAA
rnacentral:tRNA from 1 species